rnacentral:lncRNA from 1 species
GCCACUGCAUUCCAGCCUGGGCAGCAGAGCGAGACUCUGGCUCAAAAAACAAAAAAAGAGGAGACAAUAAAGGGCACUGAGAGUAAGGGAAGGUUUUUAACUUCAUGGCAGAGAGCUUGAGUUGUUGAGAGGUAAUAGGGUGGGCCAAACGAUCCAAACACUCAGAAUUCACAUACCAAUCCCCUUCUGGAAGGGAAAGUGGGUGGACAAGACUCUCUGUAGAAGCACAGAUAUUCUUGUACUGUGCAGAUAAAUAAGUGUUUAGAGAAUGUGAACUUUAAACAAGAGCAGUGGUGAAUUACAGUCAGAUGAGAUCAAAGUAGAGUUUACAAAGGUUAGGAGGAAAUGGCAAAAAUUAUACUGUCAUGUAAUGAAUAAGGGGACUACAACAGAAUUGAAUCAGUCUCGCAGAGAACAAGGUGAGUGGCAUGGAUUAAACUGUUGAGAGGAUUAAAUGGGAUAAUGCACAUUAAGUACAAUGGCAUAUUGUAAGUGCUCAGUAACCACUUAUUGCUAUUAAAUAGUACCGCUAUUUAUAGAAUAUAUCUGCUCAAAUGUUUUAAAAAAUUCAAAGGCAGGCCAUGCAUGGUGGCUCACACCUGUAAUCCCAGCACUCUGGGAGGCCGAGGUGGGCAGAUCACUUGAGGUCAGGCAUUCAAGACCAGCCUGGUCAACACAGUGAAACCCCAUCUCUACUAAAAAUACAAAAAAAAAAAAAAAUUAGCCGGGUGUGGUGGUGUGCACCUGUAGUCCCAGCUACUUGGGCAGCUGAGGCAGGAGAAUCACCUGAACCCAGGAGGCAGAGAUUGCAGUGAGCUGAGAUAGCGCCACUGCACUCCAGCCUGGGUGACACAGCGAGACUGUCUCAAAAAAAAAAAAAAAAAAAAAGAAGGAAAGAAAAAAGGAAGAGAUAUGGUUUCCUUAAUAAGCUUGCAUUCUAAUGAGACAUAACAAUCAGCAAAAAUAAUUAUAGUUGUACCUGGGUAUUUGGGGAGAUUGGUUCCAGGAUCCCCGUGAUACCAAAAUCUGCAGAUGCUCAAGGCCCUUACAGUUGCCAUUCUGCAUCUGCAGGUUCCACAUCUGCUAUUGGCUGAAUCUGUGGGUUUGAAACCUGAAGAUACAGGGGGUCUGCUGUCUGUACAUUAUUAAACCCAAGGGACUGGAAUGUAAAUUCCAUAUACAUAUUUGUGACUAAAAAGAUCUCACUAAGAAAAAUAGUCAGAGCCACCAUGCCUGACCUAGAAAAAUAAAAUAAAAUAAAAAUAAAUUUGGGGUCUGGGCACGGUGGCUCACACCUCUACUACCAACACUUUGGGAGGCCAAGGCGAGUAGAUCGCCUGAGCUCAGCAGCUGGAUACCAGCUUGGGCAACAUGCUGGUCUCUACAAAACGCCAACUCUACCAAAAAUACAUAAAAUAGCUGGGCAUGGUGGAAUAUGUCUGUGGUCCCAGCUACUUGGGAG